rnacentral:rRNA from 1 species
CUGCAGUCGCACGAGAAAGUGGAGCAAUCCAUGAGUAAAGUGGCGUACGGGUGAGUAACACGUGGGUAAUCUACCUCUUAGUGGGGAAUAACCUGGGGAAACCCGGGCUAAUACCGCAUAAGCUCGAGAGAGGAAAGCAGCAAUGCGCUGAGAGAGGAGCCCGCGGCCGAUUAGCUAGUUGGGAGGGUAAAAGCCUACCAAGGCAAAGAUCGGUAGCCGGCCUGAGAGGGCACACGGCCACACUGGCACUGAAACACGGGCCAGACUCCUACGGGAGGCAGCAGUGGGGAAUCUUGCACAAUGGGGGCAACCCUGAUGCAGCGACGCCGCGUGAGCGAUGAAGCCCUUCGGGGUGUAAAGCUCUUUCGGCAGGGAAGAUGAUGACGGUACCUGCAGAAGCAGCUGCGGCUAACUACGUGCCAGCAGCCGCGGUAAUACCUAGGCAGCGAGCGUUGUUCCGAGUUACUGGGCGUAAAGGGUGUGUAGGCGGUUCUUUAAGUUUGGUGUGAAAUCUCCCGGCUCAACCGGGAGGGUGCGCCGAAUACUCAGGGACUCGAGUGCGCGAGACCAAAUGGAAUUCCUGGUGUACGGCUAAAUCCGCUAGAUCUUAGGAGGAACACCGGUGUUCUAAACUGCCUUCUUGACCGUAACUUGCUUC